rnacentral:rRNA from 1 species
CCUACGGGAGGCUGCAGUGGGGAAUAUUGGACAAUGGGGGGAACCCUGAUCCAGCCAUGCCGCGUGUGUGAAGAGGGCCCUCGGGUUGUAAAGCACUUUCAGUGAGGAAGAACGCCUGGUGGUUAAUACCCAUCAGGAAAGACAUCACUCACAGAAGAAGCACCGGCUAACUCCGUGCCAGCAGCCGCGGUAAUACGGAGGGUGCGAGCGUUAAUCGGAAUUACUGGGCGUAAAGCGCGCGUAGGUGGCUUGAUAAGCCGGUUGUGAAAGCCCCGGGCUCAACCUGGGAACGGCAUCCGGAACUGUCAAGCUAGAGUGCAGGAGAGGAAGGUAGAAUUCCCGGUGUAGCGGUGAAAUGCGUAGAGAUCGGGAGGAAUACCAGUGGCGAAGGCGGCCUUCUGGACUGACACUGACACUGAGGUGCGAAAGCGUGGGUAGCAAACAGGAUUAGAUACCCCAGUAGUC